GCCUAGCCGCCGCCUCCUCCCGUUGUUCCGCACUCACUCGUCCCUCCUCCUCCUCUACGCCUCAUCCACCCAACCCCUAACCCUAGCAGCUCCCCGCGCCGCCGCCGCCGCCGUCUCCUUCGCCCAGCCCGCCAGACCCUCGCCGUACUCUUCCUAGGCGUCGUCGCCGUCGUCCACCACCACCACCACCGCGCCCCCACCCUCUCCCCAUCCCCGCCGGCCCCCACCCUCUCCCAAUUCCCUCACCUUCUCUCCCAUGGCCAGUGGAUUGGCCCCUCGCGGGAUCAAUUCCUCUGAGCCAGCGGUCUACAGGGCCGGACGGGAGCGGCAUGUCCCCUGUCUGCGCGUUGGUGGCGGCGGUCCUGCGGGUUGAGGCUGAACCCCAACGAUAUUUGGCGCUGUGUCGAGUACUUCCUUUGCCAGCGCCACCCCCCACCCCUUCUCCUCCGUGUUCCUCUCACUGCCCAUCUCGCGCCACUGCUACACCAUAGGAGUGAAAUGCCUAUGCCACGGGUUCCUCUCCCUUUCUCUCCCUCCCUCACACUCUCUCUUCCUCUCUCUCGGCUGAUUUGCGGCUUGAUCUAUUGUUUUUGAGGUUGCUGCUCCCGGUUGGUUGCAAGGAUACGUGUUGCGGUGGUCAAUUUGUCCUAUGAAGGUUUGUCUUCAACCUUUGGAGGUUUGUCUUCGACUAUGCUCCGAGAGGUGUCACGGUCUGAGAGGAUACAGUGGGAUAGCUCUAUAUGCUAGAGUGCUAGAUGCCAGCGAUGUGAUUAGGCGCACAUAUACGAGUAUGUUUAUGACGACACCUACACCAGUCAUUGUCGUUGUUGUUUUUGCCUGUUGCCUCCCUUGAAAAUCACUUCGCUAGAGGUUGUCACGGGUGAAGUGGCAGCCACUGAUUGCGUUGUAAACAACCUGAAUAAUGAGCCCGAUGAGCAGGCUAACGGUGCGGGUGAGAUCGGUUAGUACGACAGAUAGAAUGUUCAUGCAUAUUGAAAUGUGCCUUAUUGACCAAAUUUGAUAUUAACAUGUGGCGUUCACCUUACUCGCAUAUGUGGUUGCAAAGGUUGAAAAAGAGUAUGUUGAUCCGGAGCCUGAGCAAGCUAUAUUAGCACCCCCAGCCAACAAUUUGAGGCAGGGAAUGAGUUCGGAGCUGCUAGGCAGAGUUUUCAUAGAUGAAACGGGCAUGGAGGCGCAUCGUCGCAGGCCGAGGUUUCAGAUUGCUCCAAAUGAUAAAGGGAAGGAGCUGAUAGAGGAAGAAGGUUUUCUCUCGGUUCUGUUGGCAAGGGAUCUUUGGUCAUGAAUCCAUUGUAAAUGGCAAUAGUCAAGCACCAAGGGACAAUCGAAAUUACUAUCAUGAUAUUUCAGGUCUCAUGAGAGAAGAUUGGUGACCAUGCUUUCAAUUUGGUACUUGAGUAGGACUGAGAGAGUAUAUGACUUUGGUAGGUCCUAGCCCCAAAGAUCAUAUAUGUUUCCCUGAUGAAAUAUAUGAUGAGGAUGGAUCAGGAGGAAACCUGGUUUGAAUCUGACUUCCUGUACUAGGCUAGCUAAGUGGCCUUUCAAAUAUUUUUCUUUUUUUGACUCCUCAAAUGUUCUUCAAAGUACAUCUUUAUUUGUUGGAUAGAUAAUAACAUGAUAUUUGGUCCGCCAUGAUUCCUCAAACUGUGUGCUUGAACUUUUUCUGAUCCACUUCUUGUUUGUGCCCCAGGUCUUCUCCCCAAAUCUUGCUUUCCCUCUGUUUUAGUGAAAAUUAACCUAGAUUUACAUUUGUUUUCUCAUGAUGUGGUGUUCUUCAAUUUUGCAGGAACUGCUCACAUAUCAAAUUUGAGUUGUACAUUCAUCUAUUGUUGUUCUCAUGUUGCCUCCUAUGUGUCUUUCUAGGUUAUUACCUGUAUUUUUUGGUAAUAUAUACCGCAAGUCCAUAUAUAUUGCAAGGUUGGAUGUUAUUACCUGUUUGUCAGAUGUAUUUUAAGAUGAUGUGCUUUGUUUUCAUGGCUACACACAGAGCCUUUUUUGUUAAAUGACUUCUGCUGGUUGUGUUUGGUGGCGAUGGAAGAGGAUGCCUGAAUAUGUGUGAAUAAUGGCGAAUGUUAGAUACAUUUAUUUAAUUUUCCAUGCAAGACUGUUCUCUGUUGGAAUAUUUCUUUUCGCAUGCUGUUUAUCCCUUUGCACUGAAGAACUGCAUUGUUGAAUCCAAAGGUAGCUAAAUCAUGGGAAUGUUAAGUUGCAUAUUUAUCGAUAUGGGUGUGGAUUAUUAUACUUCAUUGUGAUUUUUAUUAGAAAGUGUAAUAUCAGUGACGUGAACUUCUAAUUAGUCAGCCAAAUAACUCAUGUACGUUGUUAAUCUGAAGGCAAAUUACACAGUUAUCUAUAAUACUGUAGUUGCAUCAUUUUCCUGCUCAAGUAUCAACUGGAUGAUAUGUUGCUCUCACUUUUAUAUUAUCAUGAUGACGCCUGUCAAGUAUUGUCCACUACUAAUUGCAUUAGCUUCGCCUCAGAACGUGGAAAGAGAAAGUAGAGUUAUCAGUAGUGAUCAACUAUAACGUACCGUAGAUAUUGAUGUUUCCAGAGCAUCGUUUCCAAUUGUCUCUUGUUUUUAUGAGCGGAUACAACAUAUCAUGUAACACUUAUUCUUACACUUGCUGAUAUGAACUACCUGGCAAUAUUUUAUAGAAUUUAUGUCUUUAUGUUUUGUACUACUCGAUACAAACCAGUUGUCCUCGGCAAACAUUUGGCUUGCUUUUGGUACAAAAUUUUCCUUUAUGAUCUGUAGUGAAAUUGCAGUUAUCCUGGGUAACAACUACACUUUGCUUUUGGUAUAUAUUUAAUCUCUAUGCCCUAUACUCAACUCAGUCAUCAUGGGCAGCAACUAUACCUUGCUCUUGAUAUAUCUUUGUAGUGUUUGUGAUAUAUACUGAACACAUUUAUUUUGUUCGGUUAUUUUAAUUCCUUUGGAUGUUCUAAACGCGUUGUUAUAUCGAGGUUUUAAGAUGCUGGGUCACCGUGCCGAGCCAGGCAACGCGCGCUUCCGAUCUUAGCAUUGCCUGCUUGACCAAAAUAUUGGGAACGGCACCAUCGCACCAAGGCCAACAUCCCUACCUCCCUCUUCAACUCCCACCCAACACAAUUGUGGUUCCUUCACGGCUGCCUCCCAGCCAAAUCCGGCCGCCACCAACCAUCACGUGCUCGUCUUGGUCUCCUCUUUCUCCCUGAAAAAGUCUACCAGGUUCAAGGGCAGAGCCAUAGAUUUAGCCUCUAAAAAUAGGCUCUGAACGAAUUUAACCAUGAUGUGCACGCAAGGGCAGUGAUGCCUUUUACUACUUGAGAGGCCCAACAAGCCACUAGAUGCUACAAGUCGCUCCUUAGCGUGGAUAAGUAGUGCCACCUGGCCAGCGGCAGGAAGUCCACCGAUCGUUGGGAUCUGCUUCAUGGAUGGCGCCUGGAAGAAGCUCAAUGACCAGACCACCGUCCUCUCCAAGAGGAGGCGCCGGCUCAAGCAGGUACGGCUAGCUCACCACAGCUCGCUCCUCCCUGUUUCUUCUUCGAUGACUGUCUAUAUAAACACAAAAUUUACUUCAUGUGGUGUGCCCAUAUAGUGUGGAUGACUAAUUGAUAUCGUCAGAAGUUCAUUAUCAUUGACAUGCAAUUAAUGUAUUUUCACAAGAUACUCUCUUGGUUAACUGCGAAUAGCAUUAGCUGCCAACUGCUAGCGCUAGGUUGUGGGUAGAUUAGAUGAUUCGGUUAUCUGAGCAGCUGCUGAACUGUCGAACCGUGUGUUUUUAUCACCGGAACUUCCGCGAGCCAUGUUUCUCGCAUCCCAUUUGUUCUGUGCAUUCCUCCGAUAUAUGUGAUGUGCAACUUCUAUAAUAAUUAUUUGAAGAGGAAUGCUUGCUUUGGUCAA